UAUUGGCAUAGUCACUGGCCCCCGUGCACUCGUCCUAGAGAUCGAGCUCUUAGGAUGGGGUGCACAUAGGUUAUGUCAUUUCUCGAACCUUCGUCGAGAAGUGAUGGCUGAUGAUAUAGGUCGAGAUAUGACCAUUGCAGAGAGUGGCUUGGAUUUGUGACACGUGUUUCCGUGGACGAUCGUAGAUAGCGGCCUUUGGC
rnacentral:lncRNA from 1 species